UAUAGGAUCUACCUAGUAGUACGGAAUAAUUGUUGGAAACGACAACUAAUACCGUAUACGCCCUACGGGGGAAAAAUUUAUUGCUAUUAGAUGAGCCUAUAUUAGAUUAGCUAGUUGGUGGGGUAAUAGCCUACCAAGGUAAUGAUCUAUAGCUGAUCUGAGAGGAUGAUCAGCCACACUGGAACUGAGAUACGGUCCAGACUCCUACGGGAGGCAGCAGUGGGGAAUAUUGGACAAUGGGCGAAAGCCUGAUCCAGCCAUGCCGCAUGAGUGAAGAAGGCCUUUGGGUUGUAAAGCUCUUUUAGUGAGGAAGAUAAUGACGGUACUCACAGAAGAAGUCCUGGCUAACUCCGUGCCAGCAGCCGCGGUAAUACGGAGAGGGCUAGCGUUAUUCGGAAUUAUUGGGCGUAAAGGGCGCGUAGGCUGGUUAAUAAGUUAAAAGUGAAAUCCCGAGGCUUAACCUUGGAAUUGCUUUUAAAACUAUUAAUCUAGAGAUUGAAAGAGGAUAGAGGAAUUCCUGAUGUAGAGGUAAAAUUCGUAAAUAUUAGGAGGAACACCAGUGGCGAAGGCGUCUAUCUGGUUCAAAUCUGACGCUGAAGCGCGAAGGCGUGGGGAGCAAACAGGAUUAGAUACCCUGGUAGUCCACGCUGUAAACGAUGAAUGUUAAAUAUGGGGAGUUUACUUUCUGUAUUACAGCUAACGCGUUAAACAUUCCGCCUGGGGACUACGGUCGCAAGAUUAAAACUCAAAGGAAUUGACGGGGACCCGCACAAGCGGUGGAGCAUGUGGUUUAAUUCGAUGCAACGCGAAAACCUUACCACUUCUAGACAUGAAAAUCAUA
rnacentral:rRNA from 1 species